rnacentral:tRNA from 1 species
GCCUUCGUGGUGUAAUUGGAAGCAUGGUCGGUGCGUAUUCCAUAAGUCCAGGGUUCGAAUCCCGACGAGGGCA